rnacentral:lncRNA from 1 species
GGAGGAUAUUUUGGUAAUGGUUUUGAUGGCUUUCUUAGGAGAUUAAUUAUUUAAUUUCCUCUUCACUUUUAUGCUUUUGCAGCUAAUUGACGUUCGCUAUAUAAUUAGCAAUGAAUUAAACUACUUAAAAGAGAAGCAUAUAGUAGUGUACACAUCUUCCUCAGAGAUCAGAAUAAAUAAAUUAUGGUGGUGUAAAACUUCUACACAAUUUCCAUCCAUCUUUUUCCCAAUCGAUAAUCACAAUCGACCAUGCAAAGAUUGAAAAGAAGGAACUAGCUUGAAGAAUCUAGUGAAAAAACUUGGAACAAAAUAACAUAAUAGUUACAAAUAUAAGAACUCUACAUCCUUAUUUAUAUCAAGAGUUUAUAAUAUUAAAUUACAAUCUUUGUAAUAGAAACACUUUAUUAAAUGAAGGAGGAAUAACUUAAAAGCAUCGAUCGAUCGAGACUGCAAUAAUACAACAAAGAUUAAAGAGGCGUUCAUACAAAGAUUCAUAAAACUAAACAUGGGUUUCCUGGGGGCUCCUGGAAACUUCUUUCCCGGAAACUUUCAAAAGUUCUUUCCAUCGCGUCUGACUUUUUUGAGAAAUGACGCGAACACAGUACGAUUGAGUUAUCGUGUUCUUCCAACAUCACUGACCCGCUGAGGAUUUUUUGUGUUGGUUCAUCAGCCGUCUGCUUAAGAGAACUAGUACUACUCAUGAUUUGCUCUUAUUCAGUAUAAUGAGUAUUUGCUCCUGAGAAGGCUUGCUAGCUCAGUGUUAAUGAGGCUAGCUAUAUAUGCUACAACAUGACUCAAAAACUUAACAGAGAACCAAAACCAUAUUCAUGAACCUCUCAUGAAUCAGAAUCAGAAUAAACAAAGGAAUUGCAUUCCACCUUUCUCAUGACAAAAAUAAUGCCGAUAAAGGUAAAUUUGAGAAUCGAAUAAUUCAAUAAUGAAUCAAGAAUAAUUCGAUGAUCAGAAUAACGGCAGAUGGACGCGAAAAUCAGAAACAAAGUGGCAGCGGUUUUGUGGCUUUCGUGUGGUUUUUCUGGGCGGUGAUUGACGUCGAUGACGCUGAUGUGUGGUCAUCGAUGUCUGAUGAAUGUGAGGGUGGGUUUUAUUGUAACAUAUGUACUUUUAUUUUCUAGAUAAGUGUAUUAUUUUUUUCUUCAACAUAAAAUUUUUAAAAUCAUUAGAUUUAUUACAAAUUGUCACUGGUAAAUUUUUGACUUCACACGAUGAAUAAUGAAUGUAGGUUGUCAAAAUUGGCAUGGGUGUUAAUGGAUUGUGUUUAGAAUAAUUUAAAUUUGACGCCAUAUGAAAUCAAGUCAGCUCAAACGCUAUCCAACAGCAGUACAGUCAGAUUUUAUUUCAACACAAAGGUUUGGCAUUAGCUUAAUUGUUAACAAUAAUAAUAGUUAUAAUAAUAAUAAUUUUUUCCUCUUUUUUUUAUUAUUAUUUUAUCUCUCUUCCUUUGUUCUCUCCUCUUCUUCUUCUCUUUUUUUUUUCUUUCUCUCUCCUGCAAUUUCUUUUCAAUUUCAUCUUCUUAAUCAACAUCAUCGUCAUCACAAAUAUCUUCUUCUUUCUCCUGUCAAUUUCGUUUCUUCUUCUUCUUCAUCAACAUUAAAAUUCUGUUUCAUCUUCAUCAUCGUCAUCACAAUUACAUCAUCUUCAUCAUCAUCACCACAGUUACAUCAUCAAUUCAUACUUUUCAAUGGAAAGAGGGGUAUUUUUGGAAUAUUAAAAAAAUAAUGGGGAUGUCUUCUUCACGAGGGGAAAUGGGAUUCUGAUUCCCAACUCUCUCCUGAAAUCAGAAACUCAGUAAUCACUUCAUAUUUUGGAUGGAACCAUAUAAGUUAUUCUCAUUCUUUUUUUUUUUAAACGAAAUUAUCCCCAUUCUUAAUUUCAAUUUAACAAAUAAAUAAAUUUUUUAUUAUGAUUCCGCUAUUUCCAUUCCGAUUCCAAAAAUGUAAACACACCAUAAAAAUAAUAUUAUUCAUUUUAUCGGGCCCUGACUAUUAUAAAGCGGAACCUGUCACUUGCGUUGGAACUACGGCCUAUAGGUUGAGGCGUUGAGCGUAGCUUCAAAAAUGACCUUAAAGAGGAAAAUAUCAUUACACACAAUCUCUCUCUCUCUCAUAAUUAAGUUCUUCUCUAGGGAUGGCAAUGGGCACCGCCCGCAGCGGGUUUGCCAUUACCAAACCCAAACCCGCACAAAAUUUAAAUUACCAAAUCCACCCGCAACCCGCAGCGGGUUUUAAUUUUUUAAAAAAAACCCACCCGCAGCGGGUUUUAACAAUUACCAAACCCGCAAUGGUAUCCGGCGGAUUUUUUACAGGUUUCCGUAUUUAAAAUCACAAAUAUUUAAUAUAUAAAUUUAUAAUAAUAACCUCAAGUUCCAUAUAACAUAUUCAAUUUUAUAUUUAAACAGUGUAAAUGAAAAAUUAAAAUUUCCACAUCAAUUCAACACAAAUUCUCAAAUUUAAGUAUAAAUUAUACAAAUCUAUUUAAAAAACACAAACUAAUAUCUAAAAAUAAUAAUUACAUUUCAUAUUAUCAUUUAAAACAAGAUCAAAGAGAAUAUAUUUAUUUUAUUCACCACCAUAAGCACCCAUCUAACACAAUGCCUAAAAUAAUAAUUAAGAUUAAUAUUUUCAAAUACUAAUUCGAAGGGAAAUGCCUUUAGUUUUCUUUAGGUUAUGACUUUAGAAUAAGAGAUAAGCCAUAUACACACAUACACAACUUUGAGCCUUUUGCUAUUUGGUAAUUUGAUUAAUUACAUUAUUUUCUUUAUAUAUUUUUAUAUUUAAAUUAAAUUAAAAAUAUUUGAAAAAAAUUAUUGCGGGUUUGGUGGAUAUCCAUGCGGGUAUCCACCGGGUAUAAGAUUAAUACCAAACCCACCCGCAUCCAUAUGCGGGUUUUAAUUUAUAAUACUAAACCCGCCCGCAACGGAUAAAAUUACCCGCAACGGGCGGGUUUUGGCGGGUGGGUUUGGGCGGGUUUACGGGUUUGCGGGUACAAUUGCCAUCCCUAUUCUUCUCGCACCCUUUUUUUUGGGGGGGGGGGGGGGGGUUGCAAAUAUCUUGUAGAAAGAUGAAAAUUCUUGUCCAUUCUUAAUUAAUUUGGGAUCAUAUUUCAGUUUAAGUACAUGUAUAGUCUCUAUGUACUCAAAAGUACCUUAAAAAUACUUGCUAUUAAAUAUAUUACAUUCAUAUUCUUAUUCUUUUAUUUGCUUUUAAUGUAAUACUCUUGCAAUAAUAUUUUUGGGUAUAUUAAUUGAUAUUAAAAAAAGGCUAAUUAACCACAAAAGUAAAAUUCUUAUAAAACAUUUUAAUUCUUUUAAAUUUUAAUCUUUAUUCAAAUUAUCUUAAAAGAAAAAAAGAAAAAAAAUCAUUAUACGGAAUCUCUCUCUCAUAAUUAUGUUCUCCUCUUUCAUUUGCUUGGUGCCUUUUUUUUAUUUUUAAAGUUGGCAAAUCACUUGAAUAUAAAAAUAUGAAAAGUUGUUGUGUAUCCUUAAGGUCUUUAUUUUUGGCGCUUAGGAUUUGAUUUAUUAAAGGUUUUUUCUGUUUUGAAAAUUUUGCAUGUUCUUAUUAAGCCAUGUCUAUUUUCAAUUUUUUUUCUUCAUAUAGCAUUGCCUUAAAAACUAAUAAAAUAUGUACAUAUUUUGAGUGUUUUUAGAAGAGAGCGAUACUAUAAAUUGAAAAUCGAAAGGGGAAGAAAUUGGAGGGCAGUUUUGGAAUCGUUGGGGUCUUAUUGGGGUAUCUUGAAUAGAGUGGUUUUAUGAGGAAUUUUUAGGGGUGUCAAAAUCUCGAGUCCCCUUAUGAACACUCAGGACACAUACCUUUCAAAUCCAUUGGGCAUAGACUAGGUUCAAGGCUAACACAUAGUCACGUACCCUUUAAAGGGGUCAAUUGCUCAAAAGUGACUUCUCUGUGAAGCUAAGGAUAUUUCUUUGGAUAAUUUGUACUUGAAGUUUGUAACUAGAAAGACAAGUAACCGCAGAAUUUAAAGCACUUUUGAUUUAACUGAUACUGUAAGCAUAGUUCUAUAAUUCUCCAAGAGAAAUACAAUACUGAAUUCAAUAAGCUACAACUGAGAGCUAAAAUGCAGAAUUUUAUCUACUUAUAGGUUACAAGCUAGUAGCAUGUGUAAUAUUUAUAGUAGAAGUUAGUUACAAUAAUACAAAUACUCUCUUACCUUGAUUUUAGUUUCUCUGCUUUUCUCUGUAUCCAAAUACAUCGUUAUAAAGCUUCACAAAAAUUAAUCAAACCAUUUAAUAUUUUAUAUCCUUCAAAUUACAUGCACCAUUUCCGUUAGUGGUUGGUUCCUUUCUCUCCAACGUCGAAGUUCUCCACAAUUAUUUAUAGCAAGGUUGUAAUGUCACAAUCUUGGAUCGAAACAGGACAAAAACACCUUAUUAAACGAAAGUCGAACAAAUUGAAAGCACAUUUGUCAGACGAGGUUGUAAUAAAUAUUUUCAUUGAAAAAUAAAGAUUUUAGAGAGGCAUUCAUUCAAAGAUUCAUAAAAUAAAAAAGUGAAAUUACAAAUCUAUUUACUUGUAAAACUGAAAUUUCAAGCUGCUCAAAUAACACAGUUCUAGUAAAAGUAGAAUAAUAAUUACAACUCAGAAACUUGUCUCCCGGGGGAGAUUGGACAAUAAAUAUUGAUCACCAAUCUUUUAGUUAAACUUUUUUAAUAGAUGUGAAAAAGUCUGAUUUAAAAUUUUUUAUUUUUUUAAUUAUUAACUCAUGCAUCAUUCAAGUUAGAACUUAAGACCUCAACUUUAAUAAAUCUGCUAUUUACCACUGGAGCGCAGGACCUCUCUUGACUAGGCACGGAUCUGAUCCGGGCCGAUUUGGAUUUGUAGUACUGGAUCUGAUCCGGGCUGAUUUGGGUUUUGACCCAUUAGCGUUAGCAGGAGCCGUUUGAGUAUCCUUUUGCGGAUUUUGUUGUGAUUGAGGGUAGUUUCGGUAGGAUUUAUACAUCUUUUCCGUCCUCUCUUGAGUUUUGCCCAAAGGACCUACGUGAAAGCUCAACGUCCAUGUGAUUGGUUGUAAUUGAUGUUUGCUAUAUAUGCUCAAAGGCUUAGCAAAGAAUCAAACAUAUUCACGAUGAAACCUCUCAAGAAUCACAACGAAGGUCGUUUUCUUCUCUAUUUCCGUGAGACUUCUUUUCCACUGAAAUUAAAACUCGAAAGAAUUCUGAUUUGCAAAAAUGAAUGAUCAGAAUUCAGAAAAUUCUUUUUGCAGAAGAGGAAUUAUUGAUUACUACUUAGACUGAUUAAAAAAAAAAUUGCUUCUUCAUUUUGUAAAAAUUUCAAUUUCUUUUUGAUGAAAUUGAAUGUUGACUAACGACGCAAGAAGUAAAAGCUGUCGGCUGUGCCUAAUUUAGAAUAAUAUAUCUUUUUGUGUUGAUGAACGCAAUUCAAAUCACCUUUCCCUUUUACGAUUGUCAUUGGCAUCCGAUUCCAGCAACACUCUUUCGCAUCCAUUCGCUUAUUUCUACUGUUUCUUCGGGAAAGAGUUGUUGUUCGUGAUCAUGAAAAUGUUUUAUUUUGAUAAAGGGAAAAUUGCACCUAUACUCCCUAUAUUUAAUGAAAUGUACAUGGAUCUCGUCUUCCCCUCAGUUUUUUUCCCUCUCCUCUUUUCCUCUCCUCUUCUCUCUUUUUAUUUCUUCAAUCCAAACUUACUGUAACUUAAGUUUUUAAAAAUGAUCAUAUAGACACCCUUUUACCCUUUUACUCUAUUAACUUAGAAAAAUUGACUCUAAAUUUUAUAAUGUACAAAAAUAUAAUAUUAAAAUGCCUGUGAUGUGUGUGUGUGUGUAUUUAAUUUAAUAUGAUUAAUUUGAGAUAGGUUUUAUUAUUAAUAUUUGUAAAAGCAAGAUUUAUUUUAAAUUUUUUAAUAAAUAAAAAUAUAAUAUUCAAAUAAAUACAAAAAUAUUUUUAUUUUUUAUUAUUUUGAAUAUUAUAAAAAAUCUAUAUAUUAUUAAUAUGCCAAUAAAUUUUUUGUUAAUAAUAAAAUUUAUUUUACCCAAAUAUUUUUUACAAAUAUAUUUAUAAUAGGUACAAGCGUAAUACUAUAAGUAAAUAUAAUAAUUUUUAUUUUGAAGAUAUUUCAAAUAUUAAAACACUUAUUUUAAUAUCAUAGGUAUCUUAGAGAAAGAUUUUAUUAUUAAUGAAAUAUUUUCAUUUAUUAAAAGACAUUAAAGUAAAUUUUCUUACUUAUUAUAUUAAAAGAAUAUAAUGGUUAAAAAGGAUUAUGCGUGACGAUGUGAGCAUUUAUGAAACCUUCGAGGUCUACUUAUUUAUUUAAGCAAAGCAUGAGGGCUUAGGUAUCCUUUUUCCUUCAGUAAACUAUCAAAAAUUUAGCUAUAAUAUUAUGAGCAAAUAGUACAAUAUCAAUAUAUUUAUGGGAGAUUAGAUAAAGAAUAUUAUUACCACCCUUUUUGGUUAAAACUUUUUCUAACGGAUGUGAAAAAGCUUAAUAAUAAAGGCAAACAAAGUUUUUUUAUUUGCGGCCAGCAACGAGUGCAAAGGAACAUAUGAUCUCGACUGAUUUGAGCCAUUAUGAGUCCUUUUGAAUAAUAUUGUUUUGCUGCGCUUGGGAGGACUUAAACUUACUUUACAACUUCAUUGAAUGUUCAUCAAAAGGAAAAAAAAAAAUCGAUCUUGCAUAGAUUAAUUUUCUUUUCUUCUUUUUUUCCCUGAUUAGUUGGGAGGAUAUUUUGGUCAUCGUUUUGAUGGCUUUCUUAGGAGAUUUAUUAUUUAAUUUCCUCUCCAGUUUUAUGCUUUUGCAGCUAAUUGACGUUCGCUAUAUAAUUAGCAAUAAAUUAAACUACUUAAAAGAGAAGCAUAUAGUAGUGUACACAUCUUCCUCAGAAAUCAGAAUAAAUAAAUUAUGGUGGUGUAAAACUUCUACACAAUUUCCAUCCAUCUUUUUCCCAAUCAAUAAUCACAAUCGACCAUGCAAAGAUUGAAAAGAAGGAACUAGCUUGAAGAAUCUAGUGAAAAAACUUGGGAAAAAAUAACAUAAUAGUUACAAAUAUAAGAAUUCUUCAUCCUUAUUUAUAUAAAGAGUUUAUAAUAUUAAAUUACAAUCUUUAUAAUAUAAACACACUAUUAAAUGAAGGAGGAAUAACUUAAAAGCAUCGAUCGAUCGAGACUGCAGUAAUACAACAACGAUUAAAGAGGCGUUCAUACAAAGAUUCAUAAAAAUAAACAUGGGUUUCCUGGGGCCUCCUGGAAACUUUCAAAAGUUCUUUCCAUCUGGUCUGACUUUUUGGAGAAAUGGCGCGAACACGGUGCGAUUAUUGAGUUCUCGUGUUUUUCCAAAUCCACCGACUGAAUGAGGAUUUUUUGUGUUGGUUCAUCAGCCUUCUGCUUAAGAGAAGGCUCUUUUUGACGACUAAUACUACUCAUGAUUUGCUCUUACUCAGUAUAAUAAGUAUUUGCUGCUGAGAAAGCUUGCUAGCUCAGUGUAAAUGAGGCUAACUAUAUAUGCUGCAAAAUGAC